rnacentral:rRNA from 1 species
UACGGGGGGGGCAAGCGUUGUUCGGAAUUACUGGGCGUAAAGGGCGCGUAGGCGGUUCGCUAAGUUGGAUGUGAAAACUCUGGGCUCAACCCAGAGCCUGCAUCCAAAACUGGCGGGCUAGAGUUCUGGAGGGGGUAGCGGAAUUCCUGGUGUAGCGGUGAAAUGCGUAGAUAUCAGGAGGAACACCGGUGGCGAAGGCGGGUCUCUGGUACGGAACUGACGCUGAGACGCGAAAGCGUGGGGAGCGAACAGG